GAGUUCCUUAAAAAUUUUGAUAUCCAACUUUGCAAAAGAUUGCAAGAGACUUUUUGGCAAUUCCAAUCUCCACGAUUGCUUCGGAAUCUGCAUUUAGUACUAGUGGCCGUGUUGUAACUCUACAACGUAGUAGGUUGAAGGAAGACACAUUAGAGGCUUUGAUGUGCAGCCAAGAUUGGUUCCGAACAGAAAUGCAAGGUUAUUCAAAGAUAUUGGCUCCUUUUGAAUGUGUUGAUGAGGAUAUGGAUGAUGAUGAGGAAAUGAGUCAAAAAUAACUGUGGUGGAGGGUGAUGGAGAAGAUCUUAUAAGGAAAAGUUGGAAGCAAGAGACAUGAUUUUUUGUUGUGAAUGGAUGCCUUGUUGGAAGCAAGAGACAUGAUUUUUUGUUGUGAAUGGAUGCCUUCUUAUUUUGAAUUUAGAUGUAUCUUAUAUUAAGCAACAUGACUUGUCCACUUUUGUGGUUUUGCUACUAGAUUAUGACUUAA